rnacentral:miRNA from 2 species
AAUACCUCAGUCUUAUCAGGUGU